CGCAGCUGAAAAGCCAGAGCAAGCAGAGAAUCAGUUGAUUCAUUCUCGUAUUGGCCCCCUGGCCCUAGGGACCUCUCAAAAGAAGGAAGAAUCGCCGCCUGCUAAGAUUACUAGAGAUAGUUCAAAGAUAACAGUGGAGUAAGUCCAUGGUUUAAUGUCACAGGUUAUCAAAACAUCCUUUUCAAC